UGGGGAAUAUUGGACAAUGGGCGAAAGCCUGAUCCAGCCAUGCCGCGUGAGUGACGAAGGCCUUAGGGUUGUAAAACUCUUUCGUCGGGGACGAUAAUGACGGUACCCGAAGAAGAAGCUCCGGCUAACUUCGUGCCAGCAGCCGCGGUAAUACGAAGGGAGCUAGCGUUGUUCGGAAUCACUGGGCGUAAAGCGCACGUAGGCGGAUAGUUAAGUCAGGGGUGAAAUCCUGGGGCUCAACCCCAGAACUGCCUUUGAUACUGGCUGUCUCGAGGUCGAGAGAGGUUGGUGGAAUUCCUAGUGUAGAGGUGAAAUUCGUAGAUAUUAGGAAGAACACCAGUGGCGAAGGCGGCCAACUGGCUCGAUACUGACGCUGAGACGCGAAAGCGUGGGGAGCAAACAGGAUUAGAUACCCAAGUAGUCCCUGAGCGGGCUGGCAAGGCGCAU
rnacentral:rRNA from 1 species